AUUGAACGCUGGCGGCAGGCCUAACACAUGCAAGUCGAGCGGCAGCGACUUAACUGAACCUUCGGGGAACGUUAAGGGCGGCGAGCGGCGGACGGGUGAGUAAUGCCUGGGAAUAUGCCCUGAUGUGGGGGAUAACUAUUGGAAACGAUAGCUAAUACCGCAUAAUCUCUUCGGAGCAAAGAGGGGGACCUUCGGGCCUCUCGCGUCAGGAUUAGCCCAGGUGGGAUUAGCUUGUUGGUGAGGUAAUGGCUCACCAAGGCGACGAUCCCUAGCUGGUCUGAGAGGAUGAUCAGCCACACUGGAACUGAGACACGGUCCAGACUCCUACGGGAGGCAGCAGUGGGGAAUAUUGCACAAUGGGGGAAACCCUGAUGCAGCCAUGCCGCGUGUGUGAAGAAGGCCUUCGGGUUGUAAAGCACUUUCAGUAGGGAGGAAGGUAGUGUAGUUAACACCUGCACUAUUUGACGUUACCUACAGAAGAAGCACCGGCUAACUCCGUGCCAGCAGCCGCGGUAAUACGGAGGGUGCGAGCGUUAAUCGGAAUUACUGGGCGUAAAGCGCAUGCAGGCGGCCUGUUAAGUCAGAUGUGAAAGCCCGGGGCUUAACCUCGGAAUUGCAUUUGAAACUGGCAGGCUAGAGUCUUGUAGAGGGGGGUAGAAUUUCAGGUGUAGCGGUGAAAUGCGUAGAGAUCUGAAGGAAUACCAGUGGCGAAGCGGCCCCCUGGACAAAGACUGACGCUCAGAUGCGAAAGCGUGGGGAGCAAACAGG
rnacentral:rRNA from 1 species